CCUACCUCGAGAUACCCUGGAGCCGGCCUUCCUUCCCCGUCGUUGGAGGAGCGCGGAGCCGCCGCUGGUUCACACCACCUCCAUCCUCCCUCCCGCAGCGAAGACGCGAUUAUUGGGUCCUCUCUCGAUUCGUCUAACCCUAGCCGCCUCGAGCUCCGGUGCGACGGCGCCAUGGACGCCAGCAUGGCAUCAUGUGCCUCCGGAUCUUCUUCCUCGAGCACUAGAUCAAGGCCUCUACGGCAUGAACGCGCCGCCGUCUCCGCUGCCAGCGCCUGUCUUCAUGGAGCAGCAUGAGUUCAGCCGGCUACUGACGAGCAGCUUGCCGUCAAGAACAACAAAAACUUCAGCAACUUGUGGCAUCGUACGGGUGGAGGUGACGACGGUGGAGGUAGCUGCAAUAACUCUCCAUGACAUUGACAUGACCACGAUGGUGGGGAUCUCCACGACGGUUUCAACAACGGGAGGCGGCCAUCUCUGGAGCACACCAUAGAUGUAUGGGUGAGAGAAAGGGAGAAGAUUUUGAGUGGGGAAGGAAAACUGUUUCUCCAAGAUCUAUUUGGAUUGGGUAUCAAGGUUCUUGUUCAUACACUUCUCAGUUUUACAAAUAUGCGUGCCUGAUUUGAGCAGAAAUACAUAUUUGAGCAUGUCUGGUUUGUGAUUUCAGCAUUAAUACUUAUGCAUGCUUGCCUUCUUCCUUACAAAAUAAGACCUUUUGUUUUCUGCAGUUACAUAUUACGUAUGAAGAAUCAAACAUAGAGAACAUUGUUAGGAUAGUCCACCUGAACACUUUGUUUUCGAGCCAUCAAUUACAUUCCUAAAUUAUCUAGUUUGUUCGCUAUUGAAUUUUAGGUAGCGGUCACAGCCAUGCUGCUGGGUGGCGCAAAAUGCUACACUGAUGCUCAAGUCUGAGGCAAAGCUCCUACGGUGCACUACAGGCUGGUGCUCUAAUGUUCUAUUUCUCUCCCCUCGUACCUUUAUCCUUCCAGAAUGACAAUGAUCAGUGGGAAUUUAGAGAUACUACUGUCCUGUUAGCCAAGUAGCUUACAAAUAAUGUCCGAUGAAACGAUUUGUUGUCUCAGUAAUUAUACAUUUUUGCUAUGUUUUCGAUGACUAGAUGAGUUCAGCCGACAAGACAGACUAGAUGAGUUGCAGACACUACUGCCAUUAGUUGCAGGAUUCUAUAGGUGGUUCAUUAAGGUCCAACUCAUCACUUUUUUU